rnacentral:rRNA from 1 species
CCCCUAGAUGUUCUGGGCCGCACGCGCGCUACACUGAACAGUUCAACAAGUCUUAACCUUGGCCGAUAGGUCUGGGUAAUCUUUGAACGCUGUUCGUGAUUGGGAUAGACCUUUGCAAUUAUGGGUCUUCAACGAGGAAUUCCUAGUAAACGCAAGUCAUCAGCUUGCAUUGAUUACGUCCCUGCCCUUUGUACACACCGCCCGUCGCACCUACCGAUUGAAUGGUCCGGUGAAGCGCUCGGACCGCGGCCUCUUGACGGUUUUCCGUCGAUUGGCUGUGGGAAGUUCGUUAAACCUUAUCAUUUAGAGGAAGGAGAAGUCGUAACA